AACGUAGGACGCAAGCGUUAUCCGGAGUUACUGGGCGUAAAGCGCGGGCAGGCGGUCUUGCCAGUCUGAUGUGAAAUCUCUCAGCUCAACUGGGAGCAGCCAUUGGAAACUACAAGACUGGAGUCUGACAGAGGUAGGCGGAAUUCCGGGUGGAGUGGUGAAAUGCGUAGAGAUCCGGAGGAACACCAGAGGCGAAGGCGGCUCUCUGGGACGGUACUGACGCUGAGACGCGAAAGCGUGGGGAGCGAACAGG
rnacentral:rRNA from 1 species